AACAAAUCAAUUUUUCAGUUUUUAGAUAUAAUGUUUUACUCUUCGUCUUAUUAAAAAAUUUACAAUCAAUAAUUUUAUUUUUAUUAGAUGGUAAAAUAUGAAUGGUACUUUAUAUGUAACUAUUUUUUUAAAAAUUUUUUAAAAAAUUUUCAAAUAGGACGGAUGGUCAAACGUUCGACAAAAAACCGAAAAGUUGAUUUUUUU
rnacentral:pre_miRNA from 1 species